rnacentral:tRNA from 1 species
GAUAGGAUGGCUGAAGAUCAGGCGAUAGAUUGUAAAUUUAUUUAUGAGGAUACCUCUCCUGUUA